UGGGGAAUAUUGGACAAUGGGGGGAACCCUGAUCCAGCCAUGCCGCGUGUGUGAAGAAGGCCUUAUGGUUGUAAAGCACUUUAAGCGAGGAGGAGGGUACUGGUAUUAAUACUACCAGGUACUGGACGUUACUCGCAGAAUAAGCACCGGCUAACUCUGUGCCAGCAGCCGCGGUAAUACAGAGGGUGCGAGCGUUAAUCGGAUUUACUGGGCGUAAAGCGUGCGUAGGCGGCUAAUUGAGUCGGAUGUGAAAUCCCCGAGCUUAACUUGGGAAUUGCAUUAGAUACUGGUUAGCUAGAGUGUGGGAGAGGAUGGUAGAAUUCCAGGUGUAGCGGUGAAAUGCGUAGAGAUCUGGAGGAAUACCGAUGGCGAAGACAGCCAUCUGGCCUAACACUGACGCUGAGGUACGAAAGCAUGGGGAGCAAACAGG
rnacentral:rRNA from 1 species